GGACUUCGAGUGGGAGCAAUCCGUGGCGCUAUGGGCUCUGGAAUCUACUACGCCUUUGGUGUCUUCAAUUCUCUUAAGGGAUUGUGGAUUCUAGUGUUUGGACCGCUCUACGAUUCUAAGAUACUUUUGAUCAUGUGCAAAAAAUGUCGGAGAAUUCCAGAUCAGAAACAAGAGCCAUGACUCAAAACUAAAGUUCACGCCACCCGGAGGAUCAAGAUGGGACUGCAUUUUAUUUACAUUUGGAAAAAGUGGUACAUUUUUGCAACGUUCUGAUCAUAAAGAGGGCGUAUUUUACUUCCAGGGGAUAUUUAACUGUUAACAUGUAAUAUAUUUAGAUCACCAUGUUUGUUUUUCAGGUUUGUGAAGUUGUUGUGUACAGUUUUGCAUCAUGUUUUGUAUAUUUCUGGAGAAUGGGUGAUGUAGGCUUGUGGGCGGAGCGUUCCCAGAAUCUUACAGCUAAAUGCAAAGAGGGUUUUUAUAAAGCCCAGUAAAGAUCACUAGAUUCAGGAAUGUUUUUGUUUUUAUUAUCACAUGGUAAAAGAAUGAAAUAUGAAUCAACACAACAUUUAUCUGCUCCACGCUCUGCCGGAGACUCAACUACAACAUAUUUACAUUUUUGUGAGAUGAUAUCUGGAAAUUAGUGAUGCGUGGGUCGGAAAACUCAAUGAGAAGAAGUAAAGCCGGUGCAGGUGGGUCAGGUCCCAUCAUAGCAAGGUUUGGGUCGGGUCCCAAUAUUUGAACCCAUUUCUUUGGUUUGGUUUUGGUGGGUCGGGUCUGACCUGUGCAUCACUACUGGAUA